rnacentral:lncRNA from 1 species
UAUAUUAUCUUCUCUCUUUCUUCUAGAUAUCAGCAAUUCUCCGAUGCAUGUUAUUUUCCUUUUCUCUGAAACCCCUUAUGUAUUUCCAGCCUUAUCUCUUUAGUUUCUUCUACAUAUUCAAACAUCUUCUUCUCCGUUUUAUUAGAUCCAACAGUCACCACCUCAAAAAAUUCACAAAACCAAUAUCGAAAUACCAAACUUUUUGCUAAAAAGGUAUUACUCAUACAAUUUCUUAAUAUAUUCUCGUCAAAAUUAAGAAAUUAUUAUUAGUUUGGGGAAUUAUUAUUUUUGGGUAGUUUAGGUUUUGAAGGGUGAGAAUGAAAGUGACCCAGAAAGAAAAAAAAGGCUUAGUCUUAAUUUUAAUAAAUCUAAAUCCUUGAAUUAUUUCCUUGUUUGCUACUUCUUGAGUUACUUGUAAUUGUUUCUUACAAAAUUAUUCUUCCAUUUCCCUUAUAUCCUUCUUCAAAAAGAAAUUAGAUCAGAUUAUCUAAGAAGUUGACCUCUGGCUAGUUUCAAUUCUGCUCCACUUUUUCUUGAUUGUUCUUUCCCUAGCUCUUGCUCUUGC